CUGGCGGCAGGCCUAACACAUGCAAGUCGAGCGGAAACGACACNAUNGAUUCUUCGGGNGNUUUGNUGGGCGUCGAGCGGCGGACGGGUGAGUAAUGCCUAGGAAAUUGCCUUGAUGUGGGGGAUAACCAUUGGAAACGAUGGCUAAUACCGCAUAAUGCCUACGGGCCAAAGAGGGGGAUCUUCGGACCUCUCGCGUCAAGAUAUGCCUAGGUGGGAUUAGCUAGUUGGUGAGGUAAUGGCUCACCAAGGCGACGAUCCCUAGCUGGUCUGAGAGGAUGAUCAGCCACACUGGAACUGAGACACGGUCCAGACUCCUACGGGAGGCAGCAGUGGGGAAUAUUGCACAAUGGGCGAAAGCCUGAUGCAGCCAUGCCGCGUGUAUGAAGAAGGCCUUCGGGUUGUAAAGUACUUUCAGUUGUGAGGAAGGGUGUGUAGUUAAUAGCUGCGCAUCUUGACGUUAGCAACAGAAGAAGCACCGGCUAACUCCGUGCCAGCAGCCGCGGUAAUACGGAGGGUGCGAGCGUUAAUCGGAAUUACUGGGCCGUAAAGCGCAUGCAGGUGGUUCAUUAANGUCAUAUGUGAAAGCCCGGGGGCUCAACCUUCGGAACUGCA
rnacentral:rRNA from 1 species